GCUCAACCUUGCGCGUGCAGCGGGUACGGGCGUAACUAGAGUGCAGUAGGGGAGUCUGGAAUUCCUGGUGUAGCGGUGAAAUGCGCAGAUAUCAGGAGGAACACCGGUGGCGAAGGCGGGACUCUGGGCUGUUACUGACGCUGAGGAGCGAAAGCAUGGGGAGCGAACAGGAUUAGAUACCCUGGUAGUCCAUGCCGUAAACGUUGGGCACUAGGUGUGGGGCUCAUUCCACGAGUUCCGUGCCGCAGCUAACGCAUUAAGUGCCCCGCCUGGGGAGUACGGCCGCAAGGCUAAAACUCAAAGGAAUUGACGGGGGCCCGCACAAGCGGCGGAGCAUGCGGAUUAAUUCGAUGCAACGCGAAGAACCUUACCAAGGCUUGACAUACACUGGAAUGUGCCAGAGAUGGUUCAGCUCUUUUGAGCUGGUGUACAGGUGGUGCAUGGUUGUCGUCAGCUCGUGUCGUGAGAUGUUGGGUUAAGUCCCGCAACGAGCGUAACCCUCGUUCUAUGUUGCCAGCACGUGAGGGUGGGAACUCAUAGGAGACUGCCGGGGUCAACUCGGAGGAAGGUGGGGAUGACGUCAAAUCAUCAUGCCCUUUAUGUCUUGGGCUUCACGCAUGCUACAAUGGUCGGUACAAAG
rnacentral:rRNA from 1 species